rnacentral:rRNA from 1 species
GAUGAACGCUGGCGGCGUGCCUAACACAUGCAAGUCGAACGCUUCACUUCGGUUAAGAGUUGCGUUCGGGGGCGUAAUACUUAAGUAACCUUGCAUCUAUAGGUGGUUAACUGAUGUAAACGUCAGCUAAGACCGCUUAGACGUAGAGAUCGCAUGAACUCUAAAUGAAAAGUGCUACGGGCUUGCUAGAUGAUGGACUUAUGGCGCGUUAGCUUGUUGGUAGGGUAACGGCCUACCAAGGCGACGAUGUGUAGCCGCCCUGAGAGGGUGAGCGGCCACACUGGGACUGAGACACGGCCCAGACUACUACGGGAGGCAGCAGUAGGGAAUUUUCGACAAUGGGAGAAACCCUGAUCGAGCAACGCCGCGUGAAGGAAGAAGAAAUUCGUUUUGUAAACUUCUGUAAUAGGGGAAGAACGGUGGAUAUAGGGUAUGAUAUCCAAGUGACGGUACUCUAUAAGAAAGCCACGGCUAACUACGUG